UUCUGGGCCUGGUCUGUGGAGUUUCUGACUGAAUAGGUCUGGGAUGGGGCCAGAGAAUCUGUGCUGCAGAUUCCAGGGACUGCUGAUGUCACUGGUCUGGAUACGGCACUGGGAGAAACCACGGCUCUACGGCAGUUCUUCUCCUCUGGUGACUCAGCAGUCUAGGCUCAAGGUGAAUCUUUGAACGUCCCCACCCGGAACACAUGGGCUCGCAGAGGAAGCAGCAGCGGGAUGACUUCCAAAUGCCCGGGCCGGCGGUGACAUGCGCCACUUCUUCCCACGAUCCAUGAACCAGAGCCAUCACCAGGAGCCACAUGAUUCCAGGCAGUGUGUGCUGCAGGAGUGGGAGGUGGCAGUGUUUACAAAUUUCCCGUAAAAAUUUCUUGAAGCAAAAAGGUUCUCCCAAAAGUCCUCUGAGAUGGCUGGUCAGAGCUCUUAUUUCCAUUCUUCCCUGGACAAUCAACAGUUCCUGAAAGUUACGGGCCUCCUGGAUGCAGAAGAGAGGAAAUUUUAGGACAGUUCCUUAAUGUCAGGCCUUCAAAGCCCCUUCCAAGUCUAAGGGGGAGACCAUUCAGAGUGAGCCAGGCUGCUGAAGACAUGAAUGCCCCCCUUAGCCUAGCUGGUCCCCUGCCUCGGCGGUGUUUAUGCUGGUCCUGCACGGGGA